GUUUCCAAAGUGUAGUGGUUAUCACGCUCGCCGCACACGCGAGAGGUCCUCGGCUCGAAACCAAGUGGAAACA